rnacentral:rRNA from 1 species
GACGAACGCUGGCGGCGUGCCUAAUACAUGCAAGUAGAACGCUGAAGCUUGGUGCUUGCCCCGAGCGGAUGAGUUGCGAACGGGUGAGUAACGCGUAGGUAACCUGCCUGGUAGCGGGGGAUAACUAUUGGAAACGAUAGCUAAUACCACAUAAGAGUAGAUGUUGCAUGACAUUUGCUUAAAAGGUGCAAUUGCAUCACUACCAGAUGGACCUGCGUUGUAUUAGCUAGUUGGUGAGGUAACGGCUCACCAAGGCAACGAUACAUAGCCGACCUGAGAGGGUGAUCGGCCACACUGGGACUGAGACACGGCCCAGACUCCUACGGGAGGCAGCAGUAGGGAAUCUUCGGCAAUGGACGGAAGUCUGACCGAGCAACGCCGCGUGAGUGAAGAAGGGUUUCGGAUCGUAAAGCUCUGUUGUAAGAGAAGAACGAGUGUGAGAGUGGAAAGUUCACACUGUGACGGUAUCUUACCAGAAAGGGACGGCUAACUACGUG